CCGCAAUUACCAUAUAAUUGAACAAUAUAAAUAAAAAUGUAAUCUUAAAAGGUACCUAUUACCAGUAUCAUAUGUGCUCAAUUCAUGGUUUUUAAUGAAAUGGAAUUUGUUUGACGACAAAGAGACUGUUAAUGGGGCCGAAGAAGAUAUAUAAAAACUUUACUUUUGAUGAAUUGACACGCGCUGACAAGUAAUACCAACCUUAAACCAGGAACUUGUCUCAAAUACAUCAUUUUAUUCAUGAACAGCAAUGUUCAAGGAAUAAACAACUCCAUUUUCUACAAUUGUUCUUCUACUCUCAAUGAUCCUGGAAUCCACCUCUCUCUCUCAAGAAAGAAAGAUCAACAGCGUCAGUGAGAUUAAUCUCAAGGACCAGCUUGGCUAAUAAAUUGAAUCGGCGUCUUUUCCUUUUUGGUUUAAUUUGUCACAGCAUUAUGUCAUGGAAUAAACUAGAAUAGUAAUAUAUUGAGUGAUGGAAAACGAGAAAGAAGGAAAAGGCCAUGGAGUCUGAUUCUCCAGCUUGCAAUCCACUUACAAUGGAUGGCAACUAAAAGGCCUAAAUCCUGACUGUUUAGUAUACUGAGAGGAAUAUAAAUCAUCCAGAAUUAAUAAAAAUUUUCCAUUUUAUUGAGAAGUAGUGAAUUCAGAGCAAUAAAAGCUAAUGUUUGGUUAUGUUUCUAAAGGCUAGUUCUAAUAUAAAUUUGAAGCAUCUUCGGACAAUAAAAAUUUAAGGUGUCCCACUGUGCUUAGUAGCCUAGCAAAUAUCAUUGUAACAGCUACAAAGCUUUUUAUAAUGCAUUGAUGAAUUAAUAUUACAAAUUAUUAUUUGAAGUUUCUUUUGAAAUCAAUUUUAUAGUCUCCAACUUUACCGAUGAUAAACUUUUAUCAAAUUACAUUUUGGAGGACUAAGAAAGUAAUUAUAUAAAAAUACAAGCUCUUUUUAAGAUAUUUUAUUUCCAACAUCAGCUCUCUGUGCAGUCUUUAUUUAACUUAAGAGCCAAUACAAUCAAAGCCAAUAUGGGAGGCACAUAUUCCAUUUUUCCCACUGCAGUUAUUUCUUUUUCUAUACCCAUUAAGUAGAGUAUAUAUGCUAAGGCAAUCUACAAUAUAAACAGUAAGGUAAAGAUAUCAGAAUAAGCUACAUUGUUCCAUUUCAAGACAAACUUAUUUACUGAAUUUUUAUAUUCUUUUUUGUAGUUCAAAAAUAUGCACACAGACGUGAAUUUUUUAGACAAAUUGCACCCCACACCCCAAGUAUACUUGUUUUACAAUUUUUUAAUGGAAAAGUGUGAUAUUUCUUACAUUUUCAACUCCAACAAACAUUCUUAUAUAUAAAUGCCAAAAGUAUGAAAGGUAAAAUGUCCAAGUUAGUUCCGCAAUUAACAAAAUAUAUAAAGGAACUGCGAAACAGCAAAGGAGAAGUUGGAUAAAAAAACUAAUGAAAGCAUCCCUCUUUAGCGAGUCCAAUUCUGGAAGCCUUUGCUUUCUUUUAAAUCUUGGUAGUGGUGGAAUGACUAUUAAUUAAGAUACUACCAUUUAAGGUUAUGUUCUUAUACCCUGAACAUUGAAAACCAAUGGCAAUUUCAAUAAUAAGCUACAAAAAGUAAAAAUAGAAAGGUUACAUGUUUUUGCGCGUUGUUCAGUUGGGAAGUCUAAUUAUGGUCUCUGUACAGAGCUAAUACGCGGAUCAAACACUGUGAGAUUUCCAUGGGGUUUGCAAUGGAGGCAAGAAGAUAGGAAAGCAUGCAUGCAUAAAAUGAAGACCCACUUAUUUCCUUCCCUUUAUUCCAUUCAUCUCCUUAAAAUUAUGAGUUUCAGGAUUACCAAAUGAAUAGGAAUUGUUGAGAAAACGUGUUUAAAAAUGAAACAGCAUUAGACAAACUUGUGAGUUUCAAAUAAUUUAAUUUAGCAUCCUUCCCCUCCCCAGUCACCACAGAAGAACCAAAGAAAUCUUAAAAGUAAAAUAUAGUGAUCAUAUUGAAGCUUUAAUCAGAUGGGGACAUGCCUUAGUCUCAAUUACAAAUUACAUUAACAAACCGAGUAUCUUUAAUCAUUGAGAAAGACAACAACUACCAUAAACAUAAAUACAACCUCAAAAAUGUAAUUGAUAAUAGGAAUUACAAACUAUUAUGAAAAGAGAUCAAGAAAUACCCAUGAGAUCUCAAUUUCGAGGCAGGUUUUUCCAUCGUUGAAUGAUCUGGGCUUGUCAACCGCAAGUCUGCAACUCCAUGCUUGCGUUCAGCUGCAGGUUCGGAUUCAGUAGCUACUGAGUUGUCGUGUUUUGGGUUGGUUUACAAAAUGACAAGGGGCCGAUAAGGCACGCUAAAGCCUGUGUGUAUAGAAU
rnacentral:lncRNA from 1 species